UACGUAGGUGGCAAGCGUUGUCCGGAUUUACUGGGCGUAAAGAGCGCGCAGGCGGUCGUUCAAGUCGCGUGUGAAAGCCCCCGGCUCAACUGGGGAGGGUCACGCGAUACUGAUCGACUCGAAGGCAGGAGAGGGUAGUGGAAUUCCCGGUGUAGUGGUGAAAUGCGUAGAUAUCGGGAGGAACACCAGUGGUGAAGGCGACUACCUGGCCUGUUCUUGACGCUGAGGCGCGAAAGCUAGGGGAGCAAACGGGG
rnacentral:rRNA from 1 species